rnacentral:tRNA from 1 species
AGGGAAAUAGUUUAUGUAAAAUACUAGCUUUGGGGGUUAGAGAAUUUAAUUUUAUAUUUUUAUA